UGUUCUCUGGCCUGGAAACUUAUCUUUGUUAUUUUCCUUCUUCCACUUCAUCCGUCGAUUCUGAAACCAAAUCUUUACCUGUCUCUCAGUUAAGCCGAGGGCAUGGGACACCUCAAUCCGUCGUUUGCGUGUCAGGGGUGUUCCUACAACCCAGACUAACUACCGAAAACCACGCUGUUGCCAGAUGAAUGGACCUCACUUUUCCACUGUGAAAGUGAUACAGGAGAUCUGGAUGGAAACAUCAAUUAAAAUAGAAAUUUAGGCUACUGGUGACUAAAGAUCACCAGUGUUUUGUUCCGAUAGUGUUUUAUUUAUUCGGAAAAGCUAAAUUUGAAUUCCAAAUGUUCAACGUGUUUUAACAAAGAAAAUAUGGUUAAAGAGAUUUAACAAACGA